CGCCGGGUACCGUUGGUGCCAACGACGUCAACGGCACCAACGGCGCCCGAGGGCCUCGCGCCGCCCACUGAGGCGUCGGCGGGGCUGGGCUGCAUCUCUCCAGAGUCCUUGGGGCAGAGAGGAGGCGUGGUGGCGUUCCGCCCUGGGCCACCGCAGCCGUGCGCCGCCGCCUGAUGUGGAAAAGUGAGGCCGAGUCCGUGGGGUCCCCGCCUGGAAUGAUUCAAGCCCUUAACCUACUGGGGCAAUACUUUGGCCACCAUUUUCACCAUGCUGAGAGAGGCCUGCCAACGCCCUGAGAAGCAGGACGCCCAUGAAAGCGUUGCCUGUGCUCACCAAAGUCCUGCUGGCUCUUGUUUUUUGUCCUCUGUCUUUCCUUGGCUCAAGACACACCAACUGCAAUGCUGAGUCCUGGGACUUCUUCUGGAGGCCUGGCUGUGGCUGUGCUGUGCAAGAGCAGACAAGAGCCUGCACACUCUGGGUCUGCUCCUCACAGUUUCCUGGGCAACAGCUUCCUGCAGUCAUAACUGGAAGGCUGUGGGACUCCCUCACAAGCAACUACACUCCCUACCCUCCCUGGAAAAGGGCUGACAGCCAGAGCAGGGAGGGUAUGUAGUGCCUGCAUACCCUGAAAGGGUGCACCUAAUUCUGUAGGCCUCUCACCUUAGAUGAUGAGUGAUCUGUUGCUGUGUAACAAAUUACCCCACAACUUAGCAGUUUACAGCAAGCAUUAUCUCACAGGUUCUGUGGGUCUGUGAUCCAGGCCACUGAGUGCGCACCUCUGCCUCCAGGCUUCUCACAAGACUGUAGUCAGGGUUCUGGACUGGGCCUGUGGUCUCUGGGAAGGCUCUGCUGAGAUGAUUUAGUGAGCUACUGAACUUACUCCCACAGUUGUUGGCAGGAUUCAGUUCCUCACUAGCAAAUCCACGGAGGACCUUGUUCUUGUCUUUUUGUUUGAGUGAGGCCUCACUCAGUUCUUUGCCACAUGGGCCUCGCCACAGCUCAGCCCCCAAUAUGGCAGGUGACUGCCAUCUGAUUGAGCAAAGGAGAGGAUGUGUGGCAGGCCCCUGUAACCUAAUUUCACAAGGGAUGUCCUGUUGAUUUUUGCUGCAUUCUGUUGGUGUGAGUUCAGCCCACACUCAAGGGGAUGGCAUUACGCAGCGUGUACAUAACACAAAGGGAGAACGCUAAAGGCCACCUCAGGAGCCACCUGGCAUAGCUCACCUCAUCACUAUCUGUGUCUCUGCUCUUCUCCUGUCCCAGCUCUCUGGGAGUGGGUCUUGCCAGAGAGCACACCACUGGUCAGUACAGCGUUGCUCUGAUGUUACUUUUUACGUUCUAGGUAGCUGUAGCCAGAGCUACAGUAACAGGACAGGCUCUGCUUACACCUUUCCCCAGAUUGUCCUGAGUACUGUGAAAGCAGCUCAUCUUCAGCUUCUGAGUUACUCCCUCUCCCUUUCCCUCAGAUCUGGAUUGGGCCCAGUCUGUGCUCCCAAAGGUCCCUGAAGGGGUAGAGGGGAUGGAGGAGCACUGGGGAAAUGGCAGGACAGUGUGAAAGAGAGCUCCACCCCGGAACCCUUGCACAUAUCCACACAGGAUGCACAGACAAGGCUUACAGUAUAGCGGAGCCUUUCAUCACAGGGCAGUCAUGUUUUCUCACUGUCUUCCUGCUCAAGGUCCCUGAGAAGCUGGCACCUUUGGCUGCUCUUCUUCUGUUGACUGUGCCAGUAAUAAACUGAGUCUACAAAGGUCUGUUUUUUUAGUG
rnacentral:lncRNA from 1 species